rnacentral:misc_RNA from 1 species
GAUGAAGAACGCAGCGAAACGCGAUAUGUAAUGUGAAUUGCAGAAUUCAGUGAAUCAUCGAAUCUUUGAACGCACAUGGCGCCUUCCAGUAUCCUGGGAGGCAUGUCUGUCCGAGCGUCGUUUCAACCCUCGAGCCCCCGUGGCCCGGCGUUGGGGAUCUGCCCAGGCAGUCCCCGAAAACCAGUGGCGGACCCGUUACAGGCCCUUCCCUUGCGUAGUAGCAUUCGCCUCGCAUCGGGAGCCGGCGGGCUUCCAGCCUCUAAACCCCCAUCAAGUCCGCCCCGGCGGCACCAAGGUUGACCUCGGAUCAGGUAGGAAUACCCGCUGAACUUAAGCAUAUCAAUAAGCGGAGGA